rnacentral:ncRNA from 1 species
CCAGAAAAAGCCAAAACCCGGGAGACCGGGUGACGGAAAGCUUACGGGUCCUUUUAAUAAGGAUGGCCGGGCUGCCUGGG